rnacentral:sRNA from 1 species
UGAAACUAAACGACACACACAUUCCGACACGAUGUUCUGGGUGCCUUUUAAGCGGCAAAUUAACAUGCUUAUAUUGGUUGAUCAUUGGGGGAUGUGGAGGCUUAAC